GGCAGCAGUUCUCAACCUGUGGGUCGUGACCCCUUUGGGGGUCGAACGACCCUUUCACAGGGGUCGCCUAAGACCAUCAGAAAACACAUAUAUAAUUACAUAUUGUUUUUGUGGUGAAUCACUAUGCUUUAAUUAUGUUCAAUUUGUAACAAUGAAAUUGGGGGUCACCACAACACGAGGAACUGUAUUAAAGGGUCGCGACAUUAGGAAGGUUGAGAACCACUGGAUUAACAAGAGAAAAUCAUACAAAUUUAUUUAAUAUAAGUUUUAUGUGACAUGGGAGCCUUCAUAAAGAAAUGAAGACCCGAGAAACAAACCUGAGUGUUUUUAAUGCUAGCUUUUUAUUUAAAAAAAUUUAUUCCUCACCCAAAGAUAUGUUUAUUGAUUUUUUUAAUAGGAAGGAGGGGGAGGGAGAGAGAGAGAAGCAUCGAUGUGAGAAACAUUGAUCAGUUACUUCCCAUAUGCACCCUAAUCUGGGAUCAAACCUGCAACCUAGACUUGUGCCUUUACCAGGAAUUGAAUCUACAACCUUUUGGUGUACAAGGCAACACUCCAACCAAAUGAGCUACCCAGCCAGGGCUAUGUUAGCUUUGAUGAAGAGUGGAAAGUCAUAGAAAGAUGUGAUAGGGCAAAGGCAAUGGGAAAUAAAGAUCAUAAUAUGAAAUGUAGUAAACAGAGGAAAACUUAGCAACAUCUCUUUGUUCAGAUUCCCCUCUGUGUCCCUUAUCUUCGAGGUAAGGUUCUCCUUUCCUCCAGGUAUUGGGAAGGCACCUCUCAUGAAGGCUUUAUGACCUGUUGCAGGGGAAAGUCGAAAGUCCUUCCUGCCCCUGUCACUUCUCAAAUUCCUUCAUCUUCAAAUGCCAAGUUGCCAGAUUUUGGGGUAGCAUGUCCUGAACCUAUAUCAUUUCAUUUCUAGUACUAAUUCUGCCAUUCUUAUACUUAAUUUUUACCCCAUUUUCUCAAGUCAUCUUCCAACUAUUCAUGUAGACAUUUUUGUGAGGAAUGGUUAUUAACUAUAUAAAUUACUUUGAAACUACAAUAUAAGGAACUGUAUAAAAGCUAAAUAGUACCACUUGUAUUUAAAACCUUAAACACUUUAAGAUUAAUAAAUAAAAUGGAGGCAUUGUGUUUGGUUUGACUAAAGGAAGCUUGUGUUCAUAUUCUAGAUAUUUGAAGUAAUGGGAAAUAAAGAUCAUAAUAUGAAA